rnacentral:tRNA from 1 species
UGCGGUACAGCUCAAGGGUAGAGCGCAUGUUUAGCACGCAUGUGGUCCUGGGUUCAAUGCCCAGUACCUCCA